rnacentral:rRNA from 1 species
UACGGAGGGUGCAAGCGUUAUCCGGAUUCACUGGGUUUAAAGGGUGCGUAGGUGGGUUGGUAAGUCAGUGGUGAAAUCUCCAGGCUUAACUUGGAAACUGCCAUUGAUACUAUCAAUCUUGAAUACCGUGGAGGUCAGCGGAAUAUGUCAUGUAGCGGUGAAAUGCUUAGAUAUGACAUAGAACACCAAUUGCGAAGGCAGCUGGCUAACGCGGAUAUUGACACUGAUGCACGAAAGCGUGGGGAAUCAAACAGGUAGUUAGAACUGAAUCCCGAG